UAGCUGUACCCGCGACUUCGUCCGCGUGGAAUUUAACAAAAAAUUAUUGUUCAGUUCGCAUAGUUAUAAAAUAAAUAAAUUUCUAAAAUA